GCUGUGAUGGCCGAGUGGUUAAGGCGUUGGAUUUGAAAUCCAAUGGGGUUUCAUCACUCCUUUAAACA